CCUCUCCGCCACCGCCGUAGCAUUGGUUGAUACCAGUAAUCGGCUCUGCCUCUCGGCUCCGCCGCGACCAGUGAAGCUCAGCCGCGUGCCGCCGAUGAGUGUCGCUUGGCACGUGCUGAAGCCCGAUAGGAGCUUCACGUAUGCGGAGGUACACGUGCUGAACAAUGUCUUACUCAUUUUCUCUUUGCCCUUCUUUUGACUUUCCUCCGGUGGAACGAUCUGGAGCGGAAUUAAGAGUAAUGCUAGAGAUAUAAAUUAUUCUAUAAAUAUUUUACAAAUUGUUGAUAUGGCAUACUCUAUCUCAGCAUAUUGAUCAACAAAUUACUUCAAUAUAGUCUUUGACCCCACAUAAAAAACUGAGAUGGAGUAAACCAUAUCAAUAAUUUAUAAAAUAUUUGUAGAAUAAUUUGUAUCUAUAGCAUUAUUCCGAAAUUAAAUAGGAAAAAUUGCCACACACAAACACACUACACACUACUGAGUAGUCAUUUCAAUAUUAUCUUGAAAGUUUUUUUUUUCAUUAUUUAUCAAUAUAUAAAAUUAUCAUGAAUUAUAAAAAGGUCUUAUUUAUCAUAUAUUUUUUUAAAAAAAUUCAUAAUAUAUAUUAUUUUCAUUAUUUUUUUAAUUUUUAUUAGUACCAAAAAAAUUAAAAUUAAAAAUAAAACCUACAUUAUUAUUUUUUUCACUACAUAUAAAGCAGGCUUAUUAUAGAAACUCUAGAUGUACUGUUAGGGGUGCAACUUUGGCAAAUUUAAAGGGUUAUUUCAGUCACAAAAUUUAUUGAGUAUGGGUUGGGUAGCUCUGGAUGUCGGGUCGGUAUUUGGUUAUCCAAAUACUAAUUCUUGAUAAAGUUUAUAAAUUUGGGUUAGAUUGAAUUGGGUUGAGUUGGGUUGGGUUGGGUUGGGUUGCUUGGUUUUUGUGCGAAUAAUAUUAAAAUUAUAAUAAAUUUAAUUUGACAAAAAAUAAUAGUUGAUAAUCAUAAAUUGUGAAAGAUGGCGACUUAUGGAUUUAUUUGAUCAAUAUUUUUGAAAAAAUAAAAAGAACACAAUCAAAUUUUGAAUUUCUUUUUAUUUAUUUAAUUUUAAACAAAAAAGAAAUAUAAAAAAAAUCUUACUAUUUGUUUCUUAGACGAUGUAAACUCUUUUUUAAUAAAUAAAAAAGCGCAAUGAAAAUAAAAAAAUAUUAAAAGUACAUUGAUAAAUUAUGAGUAAUUUUAAAAGAUAAUACAAUAUAUAUAACUAAUAUAUAUUUUGGAUGGGCUCAGAUUUUGUGAGUUUAUAAAAAUAUGAAUUUAAAUUAAAUUCAGACGGGCUAUGAGUUAGGCGAAUUUUUAAAAAUAUAAAAAAACUUUUACUCAAAUAUUAUAAAAUCAUGGAUGAAGUCAAACUCAUGUUCUGAUAUUUUUGCUUCCGUACUAGUGGUUGACGUACCAACAACCUGGUUUCUAGAUUGAUGGUGGCUUAUUUAUUUUAGUAUAUAUCUAUUGAACUUAACUUUCUUUCCCUUUCACACAUCAAUAUCAUGUGAAAUGAUUGCUUUUUGAAAAUAAAUUUUAAAAUUUGAUAUUAUUAGUCAUGCAAAUUUUCAACAACAAAUUUAGUUUUAUUUUUAAUGUAUUUUGUCUUCAAAUUAUAUAUAUAUAUAUAUAUAUAUAUAUAUUGGGGUUAAUAGAAUUGUACAAUUAUACAGACUCUUAAAUAUACACAGUCUACGAUCGUAGAGUUAAGUCACUCUAUAAUAGGGUAAAAUACAAAUGUGACUACUGAACUUUAGUGAUUUUUGGGUUUUGAGUCCUUUUUUUUUGGUCAACGCAUUUUGAGCCCUUUUCUAUUUAAAAAUUUGGACUUCAAGCCCCUGUUGCCAGAUAUGCGUUGACUUGCUGACGUGGUGCCUACGUGGCAUAUUUGACGUGGAUAUUUUUAUUUUUAUUUUACAUGUGGCAUAUAUGACGUGGCAAAUUUUGGGAUUGAACUAAAAAAUUUGUUGUUGUUAAUAUUCGAUCUCCAGACCUCCCACUCAAAGCUUCAAAUCAGUUACCACUCGAGCACCACUGGUUAGUUGAUUUUUAUUCGCAAGGAUUAUUAUGUAUAACAUUCAAUCCAAUUUUCCCCAAAUUAAAAUAAAACCCAUUCACACUCAAAUAAGUCUCCUUCUCUCGAUAAGUCUCCUUCUCUCAGUUCGUUCUUUCGAUCUUCAUUACCUUGUCUCUCUCUAUCUCGCUCGCUCGCUCUCGUAUUUUGCAGCCUUUCAUCUCAAAAAUUUGUGAGUAAUGAAAAGGGGAAAGCAACUUAAAGAAAAUAGCUACCAAAAGUUUGGGAACAGUUCAAUAUCCACUGAAUUCAGUGGGAUUUCAUCACCUAGGUAUUGUGGUUGUGGGAUACGAGCAAGAAUUUGUACAUCGUCAAAGGGCAACAAUGUAGGGAGGAAGUUUUAUGGUUGUUCAAAUUAUGGUGUAAGUACUUGUAUUUACUCUGAUAUAAAAUUGAAGAAUUUUUACAUACAAUCCUUGUGUUUUUUUAAUUUAAUUUUCUACAGAUGGAAACAUUUUGUGGCUUUUUUCAAUGGAUUGACUCCAUCCACAUGUUAGAAGAUGCUGAGAAUUCUUCGGGUCUAUUAAAUUUGAGGAGCGUUGAAAUUGACCUACAGAUGAUGAAGGAGAAAGCUUAUGACUUGGAAGUGAAAGUAUCAAAAAUGGAAAAAAAGAAAGUCAAAUUGAAGAAUGAUUUGAAGUCUUCAAAAGAAGAAAUAAGAAAUUUACAAACUAAGGAGAAGUGGUUGAUACUUAUAAUCGGGGUGCUUUUUGUUUUGUGUUUGAGCAUGUUAAAAACUCUGUUUUAGUAAUUUGUGUAAUUGGAGGAAUCUCUGUUCAACUUGUUAUGAUGUCUGGA
rnacentral:lncRNA from 1 species